ACCUACGGGGCGCAGCAGUGGGGAAUAUUGCACAAUGGGGGAAACCCUGAUGCAGCGACGCCGCGUGAGCGAAGAAGUAUCUCGGUAUGUAAAGCUCUAUCAGCAGGGAAGAAAAUGACGGUACCUGACUAAGAAGCCCCGGCUAACUACGUGCCAGCAGCCGCGGUAAUACGUAGGGGGCAAGCGUUAUCCGGAUUUACUGGGUGUAAAGGGAGCGUAGACGGGGCAGCAAGUCUGAUGUGAAAGGUCGGGGCCCAACCCCGGGACUGCAUUGGAAACUGUUGAACUGGAGUACAGGAGAGGUA
rnacentral:rRNA from 1 species